UACGGGGGGGGCAAGCGUUGUUCGGAAUUACUGGGCGUAAAGGGCGCGUAGGCGGCCCGCUAAGUCAGACGUGAAAUCCCUCGGCUCAACCGGGGAACUGCGUCUGAUACUGGCAGGCUUGAAUCCGGGAGAGGGAUGUGGAAUUCCAGGUGUAGCGGUGAAAUGCGUAGAUAUCUGGAGGAACACCGGUGGCGAAGGCGGCAUCCUGGACCAACACUGACGCUGAGUGAGCGAAAGCCAGGGGAGCAAACGGG
rnacentral:rRNA from 1 species